AUCUUGUCGCUCCCAGGCUGGCUGUCUGCGCGUCACUUCAUGCAUGGACAGGCCCGCGUGUAGUAGGCCUGCGCAUGGUGCCCAGCGUGCCUAGGCCAUGCAGAUACGACAGGGUAGCCCAUUUGCUUGCAAGCUAGCCCUGCAGUGUGUCGGGUGGGUGAGGCAGUGACCUCCUUCGUUUUUCAUGCCGAGAAUAUUUUUCUCUCUCUCUUUAUCGAAUUUUGCCACUUGGUGCAAAUCCAACAGUUUUCAUUUUCUCUAAAUAGGGGCCUUUCCUUCCCAUUUUCUCCACACUUCCAUUCUUCCACCUUUCAAGAAUUAGAGAG
rnacentral:lncRNA from 1 species